GAUCAUGGCUCAGAACGAACGCUGGCGGCGCGUUUAAGCAUGCAAGUCGAGCGGCAAGGGCCUUCGGGCCCCUAGAGCGGCGGACGGGUGAGUAACACGUGGACAAUCUGCCCCCCGGCCCGGGAUAGCCCAGGGAAACCUGGAUUAAUACCGGAUGAGACGGGACCCGCGAUGGCGGGAUCCGGGAAAGGCGCUGCGGCGCCGCCGGGGGAUGAGUCUGCGUCCCAUUAGCUAGACGGCGGGGUAACGGCCCACCGUGGCGACGAUGGGUAGCCGGCCUGAGAGGGUGGACGGCCACAUUGGAACUGAGACACGGUCCAGACUCCUACGGGAGGCAGCAGCUAAGAAUCUUCCGCAAUGGGCGAAAGCCUGACGGAGCGACGCCCGCGUGAACGAAGAAGGCCGUGAGGUUGUAAAGUUCUUUUCGGGAGGGGGAACAACCGUGGCAGGGAAUGGCCGCGGGAUGACGUGAAUCCCGGAAUAAGCCCCGGCUAACUACGUGCCAGCAGCCGC
rnacentral:rRNA from 1 species